rnacentral:rRNA from 1 species
AGUCACUGACAUUAGAUACCCCGGUAGUCCAGGGUGUAAACGCUGCGGGCUUUGGGUGUUUGGGGGGGUCCUUUGAGGGCGCCCAGUGCCGGAGAGAAGUUGUUAAGCCUGCUGCUUGGGGAGUACGUCCGCAAGGAUGAAACUUAAAGGAAUUGGCGGGGAGCACCGCAACGGGAGGAGCGUGCGGUUCAAUUGGAUUCAACGCCGGACAACUCACCAGGAGCGACGGUUACAUGAAGGCCAGGCUGAUGACCUUGCCUGAUUUUCCG